rnacentral:lncRNA from 1 species
CUGCUAUUUACUUGCCUCUUGUGUGCCAGAUACUGUGCUUUCUAUUCCUUGUCUUAUUUAAUACCCACAACACCUGUGACAUAGUUAUUAUUACUUCCAUGUUAGAGAUGGGGAAGCUAACAGUUGGAAAGUUUAUAUAAGUUGUCUAAGGUCACAGAGCUAAUAAGAGCCAGAACUAGCAUAUGAACCCAAGUCUCUCUGCCUCCAAAGUCCGUGUAAUUGCCACAGUACCUAUUUCUUCUUCACAACCUUGUAAGAGAGAUGAGAAUCAUGCAUCAUCAUUGCAAUACAAGGUUGAAAAGUGCUAAUUGGACAACAAAGGACAGGUACAGGGAGAGAUCAUGUCUGGCUAAGCAGGAUCGGGGAAGACUUCCAACAAUAGGAAGCAUUUAAGGUGGGCCUUAGAGAUAAGUAGACUAGGAUAUACCAGAGAAGGUGGCACUGGCAUCCCAGGCUUUGGGAUAAAAGAUGAAGAGUCACACCCUAAGAAUGCAAUAUACAACACAAAGGGUGAGCAAGCCAGUUAGGUUAGAGAUGGGCAUCCAGGAUGCAGGAACCCUCACUUCUGUUGGUACAUUCCACAAAGUGCUCUGCACACUAGACAAAAUCCUGAAAUCAACUAAUUGAAAAAAGGAAAAUGAUUACCUGCUACAAAAGGUAAGAGAAAGCUGCCCUCCUCCUUGUCCUCUACUUUUUCCUUUCUGUAAAGCAUGAAGCCCAGGACUUCUUGGACUAAGUAAAAAUGAGAGUAUUAAAAUUAAUAGCCAGAGAUGGCUUUAGCAAAAUGGGAAAUAGAGUGGUGGAGUGAAGCAAUAGAAUUAGCACUGGCACUGAAUUCAGACUGCCUUAACUUUGAGUCCCAGUUUUGCUACUUACUGGCUGUGUCACCCCAGGCAAAUGUCCUCAGCUCCCUGAGCCUCAAUUUCCUCAUCUCUCCAAUGGGGACAGCAGUACCCAACUCAUAGCAUGCUGCAAUUGAUCACAGCACCCCGAGAAGACGCUUGUGCUUGACUGGGUCCACCUUCAGCCCUCACUAAGAUGUCAUAAACACUCUCCCACGUCCACACAGCUGAAAGUGAGGAAUUCUGAGAUGGUAUAGCCGAUGCAAGAAAGCUGGAUUCUAAGUAAAUACUUGGUGAAGAGCUACCCACUUGAUCCGUUUGACAUUUACGCAACUGUGAAGGAGUGAGAAAUAAACUUCUGUUGUGUUGAACCACUGAGAUUUAUUUUGGGGUUUGUUGUUUCAGCAACUAGUGUUAAAUAUCCUGACUAAUUAAAGCAC